UGCGGAUUGUCCUUCGGAUAUGACUUAAUGUUGGUCUUGUGAAUGGAGAUAGAGGAGGAGUCUCUGCUACGUCCACCCACAUCUCUCUCCGUCCAUGGGCAGAUCUAUUUAUUAUCUGUGGAGACAGCACCAGCAGCAGACAGACCAUCCUCAAGACUGUGAACCUAAUGUGUGCUGCAUCCACCUACUCUCCUGUGUGGGAGCAACUGGGAACAAUCUGUUUUUGACUUUGUCCACAGAAUAUCCUAGAAGGUCUAUCCUAGAAGGAAUUAACAGUGUUUCAGGGCCACCAUCGUAAGAUCCUGAACAUGGGCGAGUGCAUUUCAAUCCGUGUUUUACUGAUGUUUCUGGCCCUAAUCAGCUAUCUAAUUGCACUGACAUUCAACAUAUUGGCUCUAUUUGGGCCCUGGACAGGUGCGUUCAUGCAAACCACACAGUAUGUGCUGAGCAAGUCCACAACCCACCUAACCCCGGAUAGAUGGGUACUCUUUCUAUGGGACGUCCUUAACGUCUGGUUGAUCGGCAUGUUCAUCUAUCUGAUACACAAUCUCCGUAGAAGGGAAGCCUAUACAUGGAUGUACACCACUCCUGCUGUCCUGCCCUACGGAUUCUACUUGUCCUGGAUUGUGAAUAGUAUUUUGAAUAUGGCAUGGUUAUUUCUGUACGACAAAGAGUAAGUGAUCAUAUUAUGUGUAUUUACUGUGCAAUUAUAUACAACUUUUAAAAUGUUUUGAGUUGUUUUUGAGUUUCUACUUUGAAUUCGUGGCAAGGAAAUCACUUGUAUAGUAUUUCUCAAGACAGAUUACGUUUUCUAGAUUCUGUGUUUGUCAUAGAAAGAUGGUGCCAACACUCCUGAUCACAGCAUUACAGGCCAUCUCCAACUGUGUUAUUAUCAUGUUCUCCUGCUACGGACUGGUCGUCUAUGGAGCGUGGCUCCAUAAAUAUCACAACAAUGAUCUCUGGCUCAUUCGAAUACUGAUCAUCAAACCCCAAUACCCAAGACAGAUGCUGCAAUAAUGGUACUAGUUCUGCUCCAAUUGGGACUCAUAGGAUGGUUUGUCAUAGAGAACUGGUACCUGGAUAAGCACGUGCGUUACAUCCUCACAGUGUACCCUGUGGUGAUCCUGGUGUUGGCAGCAAGUGUGGCCAAUCCAGCCACGCCCGGUACCCACAUAGACAUCAUGUCUGCUGUCAUAUUGGCCAUAACUAGUGUCAUGUUCCUUGUACGCAUUGUCAUGGUGUUAUGGAAGCACAAGAACAAACCGUUUUACGGAGAAGAGGAGCUCAUGUCUCCAGUGGACAUCGCCAGAACACAGAAGCUCAUCUUUAUGUAGGAAGAAGAGAGCUGCUGCGGAUAUUCAUACGCCCCCUUGUUUGAAUGUUGUUUUCUUAAACAUUUAAUGGCUGAGACAUGAUCAAACUCUCCCUGUGUUGGAUUCAUAAGGCUUUGCUUCAGCAAGACAUUUAUGAUUUAGGCUAAAAGUGCCUUUGUACUGUAUAGAUUGAGCUCAUUGGCCAUGCUAAUGUCUUUUCGAAAUCAUAUCAAUGACUGUGUGUGAUAAAACUAUGAACCGGAAUUCUCUCAUGACCGCAAUACUAAUUCAAUGACGUUAAUGUGAUUGUGUUAUUUAUUUAUUUAUUUUGUUAACCUUUAACUACCACCAUAUUGUUUUUAUACCGUGAUCUGAUCUACCUUUGUGUUUUGACGUUUUGUUUUAGGUGACAUACUGUACAACAAUUUGGACUGCAUUAAUGUAUGAAUGAAGCUAUAGAAAUAAAGUGUAUUAUUAUACUUA